rnacentral:rRNA from 1 species
AUUGAACGCUGGCGGCAUGCCUUACACAUGCAAGUCGAACGGUAACGGGCCUUCGGGUGCCGACGAGUGGCGAACGGGUGAGUAAUACAUCGGAACGUGCCCGAUCGUGGGGGAUAACGAGGCGAAAGCUUUGCUAAUACCGCAUACGAUCUACGGAUGAAAGCAGGGGACCGCAAGGCCUUGCGCGGACGGAGCGGCCGAUGGCAGAUUAGGUAGUUGGUGGGAUAAAAGCUUACCAAGCCGACGAUCUGUAGCUGGUCUGAGAGGAUGAUCAGCCACACUGGGACUGGGACACGGCCCAGACUCCUACGGGAGGCAGCAGUGGGGAAUUUUGGACAAUGGGCGCGAGCCUGAUCCAGCCAUGCCGCGUGCAGGAUGAAGGCCUUCGGGUUGUAAACUGCUUUUGUACGGAACGAAAAGCCUUCUUUUAAUACAGGAGGGUCAUGACGGUACCGUAAGAAUAAGCACCGGCUAACUACGUG